rnacentral:rRNA from 1 species
AUUGAACGCUGGCGGCAGGCCUAACACAUGCAAGUCGAGCGGAGCGGCGGACGGGUGAGUAAUGCCUAGGAAUCUGCCUGGUAGUGGGGGAUAACGUCCGGAAACGGGCGCUAAUACCGCAUACUAUCAGAUGAGCCUAGGUCGGAUUAGCUAGUUGGUGGGGUAAAGGCCUACCAGGGCGACGAUCCGUAACUGGUCUGAGAGGUUGAUCAGUCACACUGGAACGGAGACACGUUCCAGACUCCUACGGGAGGCAGCAGUGGGGAAUAUGGGACAAUGGGCUAAAGCAUGAUCCAGCCAUGCCGCGUGUGUGACGAAGGUCUUCGGAGUGGAAAGCACUUUAAGUUGGGAGGCGUUACCAACAGAAUAAGCACCGGCUAACGUCGUGCCAGCAGCCGCGGGAAUUC